UACGUAGGGUGCGAGCGUUAAUCGGAAUUACUGGGCGUAAAGUGCGCGCAGGCGGCCGCGCAAGUCGAGUGUGAAAUCCCCGGGCUCAACCCGGGAAGUGCACUCGAAACUGGGAGGCUAGAGUAUCGGAGAGGUUGGUGGAAUUCUCGGUGUAGAGGUGAAAUUCGUAGAUAUCGAGAGGAACACCGGUGGCGAAGGCGGCCAACUGGACGAAUACUGACGCUGAGACUCGAAAGCGUGGGGAGCAAACAGG
rnacentral:rRNA from 1 species